UUCUUCUAUUCUCUCCGCCGCAACCAACGCCUCCAUCCACCUUCUUUCUUCUUCUUCUCUCCACUGCACAACCUCACCACCGGACACAGCCGCACACCCGCGCCGCCGUAUAGCCUCACCGCCGCACCUUCUCCAUUGUAACAAAUGUUUAGGGUUUAUGCCCCGCGACCGAUCUUUGCGCCUCUGCCUUGCCACGACGCCACCGCCCACCACUGCCACCAGCUUCACCCUCAACCCGCCUCAGUCGCCGGUCGUGAGCCUCCUUCGUUUUCACCAGUCACCACUGUCCAGUCGCCUCCUUGCCUCAAUCGAGACAAAAAUGAUCUCCCCCAAACUAUGGACAGCUAGCGCCUCCAGGAAAAAUCUCCCUACUUUUGAUCUUUAGGAAAGAGCCAUUCUUCUAUGGCUAUGACAACCAUGAUCAACUUGUUAAAAUUGCGAAGGUUCUUGGCACAGAUGAGUUGAAUGCAUAUCUCAACAAAUAUCAUCUGGAGCUUGAUCCUCAACAUGAUGCUCUGGUUGGAAGGCAAUUGAUUUCCUUGAUAAGCUCCUUCGUUAUGAUCAUCAAGACAGGCAGGCUUACAGCUAAAGAAGCUAUGGCACAUCCAUACUCCUUUCAAGUGAGGGCAGCUGAAAACAGCAGGGUGCGUACAGAGUAGUGAUGGCCCCCUCUAUAUAUAGGCAUCAUGAUUAUUUGUAAUGGAGUUGUAAAGGCGUAUGUGUACAUUGCUGUCACAAUGUCUUGAUCACAAUUGGAACAGCUUUUAUGUAGUGAUAAAACUGCAUGGCUCAUUUAUUUCCCACUAUGAACAACUUGGCAAGAAGAUGAAUGGUUUUGCUAAGGAGGAGAAAGGGCUUUACUACUUGAUCAAUCCACCAACGAAGAAAACUAGUGUUUUUUAUGACUUUGUGCACUGUAAUAAUGUCAGUAUACAUACUUGGCAUAAUAGACUAGGACAUUUUCCUGUUAAUAAAAUGCAUCUGUUGGAUGGUGUUCAAUGUUCGAGAAUAAAGAUGAAUUGAUUUGUGAUGCA